UACGUAGGGUGCGAGCGUUGUCCGGAAUUAUUGGGCGUAAAGGGCUCGUAGGCGGUUUGUCGCGUCGGGAGUGAAAACUCAGGGCUUAACCCUGAGCCUGCUUCCGAUACGGGCAGACUAGAGGUAUGCAGGGGAGAACGGAAUUCCUGGUGUAGCGGUGAAAUGCGCAGAUAUCAGGAGGAACACCGGUGGCGAAGGCGGCUCUCUGGGCCUUACCUGACGCUGAGGAGCGAAAGCGUGGGUAGCGAACAGG
rnacentral:rRNA from 1 species